GAUGAACGCUAGCGGCAGGCCUAACACAUGCAAGUCGAGGGGGUAACAUAGAAAAGCUUGCUUUUCUGAUGACGACCGGCGCACGGGUGCGUAACGCGUAUACAACCUACCUUUUAGCGGGGGAAUAGCCCAGGGAAACUUGGAUUAAUGCCCCAUAGUAUAUAGACUUCUCCUGAAGUUUAUAUUAAACAUUUAUGGCUAUUAGAUGGGUAUGCGUCCUAUUAGUUAGUUGGUAAGGUAACGGCUUACCAAGGCAGCGAUAGGUAGGGGUCCUGAGAGGGAGAUCCCCACACUGGUACUGAGACACGGACCAGACUCCUACGGGAGGCAGCAGUGAGGAAUAUUGGACAAUGGGCGAGAGCCUGAUCCAGCCAUGCCGCGUGCAGGAAGACUGCCCUAUGGGUUGUAAACUGCUUUUACAGAGGAAGAACCCACCCCCACGUGUGGGGGUUUGACGGUACUCUGCGAAUAAGGAUCGGCUAACUCCGUG
rnacentral:rRNA from 1 species